rnacentral:rRNA from 1 species
GACGAACGCUGGCGGCGUGCUUAACACAUGCAAGUCGAACGGAAAGGCCUUUUCGGAGGUACUCGAGUGGCGAACGGGUGAGUAACACGUGGGUGAUCUGCCCUGCACUCUGGGAUAAGCCUGGGAAACUGGGUCUAAUACCGGAUAGGACCGCACUUUAGUGUGUGUGGUGGAAAGUUUUUUCGGUGUAGGAUGAGCCCGCGGCCUAUCAGCUUGUUGGUGGGGUAAUGGCCUACCAAGGCGGCGACGGGUAGCCGGACUGAGAGGUUGGUCGGCCACAUUGGGACUGAGAUACGGCCCAGACUCCUACGGGAGGCAGCAGUGGGGAAUAUUGCACAAUGGGCGCAAGCCUGAUGCAGCGACGCCGCGUGGGGGAUGACGGCCUUCGGGUUGUAAACUCCUUUCGCCAGGGACGAAGCGUUUUGUGACGGUACCUGGAGAAGGAGCACCGGCUAACUACGUG